UCUUCCCCACUGAACCCUCCUUUUUGGCCAUUUUCAUGCUUGACCAAUUUUUUUUUCUUCUCCACAAUUUACAAACACCUAUUUAGUAGAUCUUGGUGACUCGCUCGCAGGAGACGACUGAAUCGCAAUUGCGUGGGAGAGAGGCGGCAUUGGUGGUGCAUGCCACCAAUGUAUCGCAGUAAAGUGUGAGAGAGAGGCAACACUGACAAGUGGAGAGGAGAACGAGUUGGGUGAGGGUGCGGUCAUGGCGGUAAAAAGAUUUUUCGGUCAGAUCUGAUGGUGCGGUGGCUUAGGUUGUUGUUUUUGUGGGUGUUGGAGGAGGAAAGAUUAAAAGUAAUAGUGUGCGGCGGAGAUAAAGAUGGAUGAGGGAGAAUAUGUAUUUUGCAAACAAAAAUGGCGACAACAGCGGUGAUGACUUUGUCCGAUCGAUGAUCGUGAAACAGUGAAAAUAUGCAGAAUUGGAUGUAUGAAAUUUCACUUUAGAAAAUGUCAAACAUAUCACAGAAAUACGAGCACAAGUCAUCAAGCACAAGAAUAACAUAAGAUAUAAAGCAGACCCACAAAAUCAAAGAAAUCUCCCAACUGUUCAUACAAGAUGAAUAAUGAUUUAUCAACAAUUUAAGGGUUUAUCAACGGAACUCGUGAAAUUUGUAAAGAUCUAACCUACCUCAUACAAAAAUAAGCUCCAACUCGUCCAUCGAUGUUGCGGUCAACCACAUUCCUCUCCUUUUACACAUUCUUCCAUAAUUGAUUUCGAUCUCCCAAACAAUUGCUCUUUCUGGUGUUUCAAUAAAACUUGACCAGAAAAUUAUUAUCUUUGGUGAUCCGCGGUAUGCUCUGAUUGAAGCCUUUGAUUUGGAGUCUCAUCCGGAUGGAUCUAAUGUCUCACCUGCCACUGUCCUAACCACUACUUAGGUCAUAUUUGAAUCUACUCCAAAUAUGGCCUUCACGACUUGGAAAAAAAGGACAAAAUCCUUUCUCUUUGGCUUAAAACUACAUGAGUCAUUCUAUCUACCCUACAUAAUGCACAUAUGUACCACUCGUGAAGUUUGGUCAUAUCUUUUCAACCUCUUUCAAUCUCACUCAAGAGCCCAAGUCAAGAAACUUCACCACCAACUUCACACCACCGCAAAGGAUUCUUCCACCAUUAUAGACUUGAACUAUCUUUUAUAAAAAAAAAUAUGUGUAUUUUUUCAUGUUAUUUGCAUAACAGAAUGUUGUAAUAUGAUGAGGCAUAAGAAAAAUUGUGUUUAUAGUCUUAAAUACAUUAUAUUAUACACAAAGAAAUUAAUUUUAGUUUUGGUUACAUAUUCAGUUUGUAGGUGAUGAUUGAAAACUUAAGUGUCCUUUGAAUUUUACACUAAACUUGGAGCCUUUAUAAGAAGUGAUUUGUCUAUAUGUGUAAGUGUAUAAUGUCACAUGUGUAUUAAUGAUGAACUUACAUUAUUGUC